AUGUUCACUGUAAUACUGAUGUGUCUGUGGCUUUCAUUAUGUGAAUCCAUUGCAGAUCCAGUAGAGCCACUUGUACCUCAGAUAGUAAUAGAUAAAGGUGGCUAUGUGACUCUGUCCUGCAGCUACAAAGGCUUCAGUGGUUCUGUAGGUAGUCUGCAGUGGUACAGGGAAUAUCCUAAAUCAAAAACUCAGUUCCUUCUUUACAUCACUGAAGGUGGAAGUAAAAGUAACAACAUCCCACCACGCCUGGAUGCUAAAGUGGAUAGAAAUAAAAAACAAGUGGAUCUGAUCAUCUCCUCUGCUGCUGUAUCAGACUCUGCUCUAUACUACUGUGCCGUGGAGCCCACAGUGACAGGGAAUCCAGCUGCACUGAACAAAAACCUUCACAGAGUUUUAUUCUACUGA